rnacentral:rRNA from 1 species
UGCAGUCGAGCGGUAACAUUUCUAGCUUGCUAGAAGAUGACGAGCGGCGGACGGGUGAGUAAUGCUUGGGAAUAUGCCUUAUGGUGGGGGACAACAGUUGGAAACGACUGCUAAUACCGCAUAACGUCUACGGACCAAAGGGGGGGAUCUUCGGACCUCUCGCCAUUUGAUUAGCCCAAGUGAGAUUAGCUAGUUGGUAAGGUAAUGGCUUACCAAGGCGACGAUCUCUAGCUGGUUUGAGAGGAUGAUCAGCCACACUGGGACUGAGACACGGCCCAGACUCCUACGGGAGGCAGCAGUGGGGAAUAUUGCACAAUGGGGGAAACCCUGAUGCAGCCAUGCCGCGUGUGUGAAGAAGGCCUUCGGGUUGUAAAGCACUUUCAGUUGUGAGGAAAGGGAUGUAGUUAAUAGCUGCAUUCUGUGACGUUAACAACAGAAGAAGCACCGGCUAACUUCGUGCCAGCAGCCGCGGUAAUACGAGGGGUGCAAGCGUUAAUCGGAAUUACUGGGCGUAAAGCGUUCGUAGGCGGUUUAUUAAGCAAGAUGUGAAAGCCCAGGGCUCAACCUUGGAACUGCAUUUUGAACUGGUAGACUAGAGUACUGUAGAGGGUGGUGGAAUUUCC